rnacentral:rRNA from 4 species
AUCAACUUUCGAUGGUAGGAUAGAGGCCUACCAUGGUGGUAACGGGUAACGGGGUGUUAGGGCACGACACCGGAGAGGGAGCCUGAGAAACGGCUACCACAUCCAAGGAUGGCAGCAGGCGCGCAAAUUACCCAAUCCCGACACGGGGAGGUAGUGACAAUAAAUAACAAUACGGGGUUCUUUAGGAUCUCGUAAUUGGAAUGAGUACAAUUUAAAUCUCUUAACGAGGAACAAUUGGAGGGCAAGUCUGGUGCCAGCAGCCGCGGUAAUUCCAGCUCCAAUAGCGUAUAUUAAAGUUGUUGCAGUUAAAAAGCUCGUAGUUGAAUUUCGGGGUUAGUAGGUUGGUCAUGCCUCUGGUAUGUACUGGUCUCACUGAUUCCUCCUUCCUGAUGAACCGUAAUGCCAUUAAUUUGGUGUUGCGGGGAAUUUGGACUGUUACUUUGAAAAAAUUAGAGUGUUUAAAGCAAGCUAACGCUUGAAUACAUUAGCAUGGAAUAAUGAAAUAGGACGUUCGAUCCUAUUUUGUUGGUUUCUAGGAUUGACGUAAUGAUUAAUAGGGAUAGUUGGGGGCAUUAGUAUUCAAUUGUCAGAGGUGAAAUUCUUGGAUUUAUUGAAGACUAACUACUGCGAAAGCAUUUGCCAAGGAUGUUUUCAUUAAUCAAGAACGAAAGUUAGGGGAUCGAAGACGAUCAGAUACCGUCGUAGUCUUAACCAUAAACUAUGCCGACUAGGGAUCGGAUGAUGUUAAUUUUUUAAUGACUCAUUCGGCGCCUUACGGGAAACCAAAGUGUUUGGGUUC